UACGUAGGGGGCUAGCGUUGUCCGGAAUCAUUGGGCGUAAAGCGCACGUAGGCGGAUUUGUAAGUCAGGGGUGAAAUCCCGGGGCUCAACCUCGGAACUGCCUUUGAUACUGCAAAUCUCGAGUCCGAUAGAGGUGGGUGGAAUUCCUAGUGUAGAGGUGAAAUUCGUAGAUAUUAGGAAGGACACCGGUGGCGAAGGCGGCCCACUGGAUCGGUACUGACGCUGAGGUGCGAAAGCGUGGGGAGCAAACAGG
rnacentral:rRNA from 1 species